UUGAACCUGGCCUUCAUUGC
rnacentral:misc_RNA from 1 species